UGGACACAAGCCCUCGGGAUAUUGUGGGAAUCCGUCACACACAUGUUGAAACGUAACUGGUGGUAUUUUCUUAGUUUUCCUCUCGCCGUGUUCUCACCUCCACGUGGAAACAUAGAUUUUUAAUGAAGAUGUCAAUGUGAGGCGAGAUUGUGUGAUGAGCUGUCUGAGCAUCUACCUCAAUGAAGACCUGGACACAC